CUUUCAAAUAUGGGAUGACAUGGGAUCUAUUUUCAAGUCUUUUCAUGCUUGUGUUAAGUUGUCUUCUGAGUAUCGACAAGAGUGGAGGCUUCAUAGUCUCCCAGAGAAUCUGUUUCAGUGUCUGACAAUACCCACAGUCCUUGGUUCAUCCCCAGUUUGUACAAAUACAUGGGACUAUUCCUACCCAGAUAAAGGACUUUGCAUUGCCCUUUAUUGAAUUUAAGGAGAUGCCUGUCAACUCCUUUCUUCAGCCUGUUGAGGCACAUCCACUAACAGAUGUCUCUGGUGUGGCUGUACCUACAGAAGAUCUCAAGGGAAACAUCCAUGCAACCUCUUUUCAAGAAAAACAGUACAUUUGGGUGAUUCAGUUUUCAAACUCUGUUGUUUUGCUCAAAUUCAGUAUUCUUGUAUCCAUGGCAACAAGAAGAUGUGCGUACUCUUAAAUAUUAUCCCACCAAAAAGUCAAACGAUUGAAAUGGAAAAUACUUGGCAUGUCAAAGCUUCAGUGUAUUUCAGAUAGAAAAUUAUGAACUAGAAAUCAAAUGUGUAGUGACUUUGCUGCUGGAUGUACUGUAAUUACAUCUCUGCUUCACAAUGUACUUUUAUGGCUCAAGGUUCUUCAAAUUGAAAAAGUGCUGCAUCUUUAUUUAUUAAAUGCUAAUGCAUUCCCAACAGAAAAGCUUAACUCUACAAAUGCUUAACAAUUAUGCAGAAUGCACUAAAGUGCUCUCAUCCUAAUCAGUUUGUUUUCAUUGGUUUUUAUUUCAGUUUUCACUGAUAUUCAACAGCAAGGCAUUGUUAUAAAUAAAAAUACAGAAAUAGGAGUCAGGUUUUAUAAAGACUCCAACUCACCUCAAAGCUUUGUUGAGUCAGAACAGUAAAGACCAGUGCAGCCAGGGAAUUCUCCUUCUAUGUGGUCUUCCCAUCCAAAAUAAGUCCCCAAAUUCAGU